CCAGAACCAGAACUGCGGGUCGCGGUAAUAAAGGUUCCCGUAAAGCAGACUGUUAAGAAGGAUUCAACUGUAUGAAUUCAGAACUUUUCAGCUGGGGAACGAGAGUACCAGUGAGUAUAGCUUUACGAGAAAAAAAAAGAAUAGGUAUGGAUGGGAAGUAAUUUAUAUAGCACAAUAACUAAGAUACAAUAAGUACUAAAUAAAUUUCACCUCUUAUUAUUUACAAGGGCAGCUCAAGAAACUAAAUCUUUUUUAACUGAGCUAUUAAUAAUUAUUAGGCCAAAAGAAAUAAUUGGGAGGCAUGAUAUAUUGGGGUUCAUUUUACUCAAAGAGAUCUGUGGAUGAAAAUAUUUAACAAUAUUUUUAUGGAGUAGUGCUACGUAUAGUGACAACAAGCUAAGGUUCUCCCCUAUCUGUACUGAUAAUCUUCAAAUGAGCCUCUUAUUAUUAUUUGGAUUUGUUUUGUAUUGUUGCAUUUAUCACAGAAAUGCAAAUAUGGGUGGCAUCUGACAUCAAAGAAGGAAGAAGUGAGACCCAGACAACUUCAAGGCAUCUCUCAGAUUUAUAUUCUACUUCACUCCCUGGAGCCCUUUUAUAGACUACAAAAGGCAAAAUU
rnacentral:lncRNA from 1 species